UGGGGAAUAUUGCACAAUGGAGGGAACUCUGAUGCAGCGACGCCGCGUGAGUGAUGAAGGACUUCGUUUCGUAAAACUCUGUUCUAUGGGAAGAAAAGGACUGUACCAUAGGAGAAAGCUCCGGCUAAAUACGUGCCAGCAGCCGCGGUAAUACGUAUGGAGCGAGCGUUGUCCGGAAUUAUUGGGCGUAAAGGGUGCGCAGGCGGCUUUACAAGUUGGAUGUGAAAUAUUGUGGCUCAACCACAAACGUGCAUCCAAAACUGCAAAGCUUGAGUUAAGGAGAGGUAAGUGGAAUUCCUGGUGUAGCGGUGGAAUGCGUAGAUAUCAGGAGGAAUACCGGUGGCGAAGGCGACUUACUGGACUUAAACUGACGCUAAGGCACGAAAGCGUGGGGAGCAAGCAGG
rnacentral:rRNA from 1 species